rnacentral:pre_miRNA from 1 species
ACAACAACAUUCGGACCGUCGGUCUACCGAGCAAUAUCACCAGCUCGGUGGAAGAUCUUCCCUUUGUCGUAUAUU